UUUGUUUAUACAUAUUCAAUGGAUGACACUUUUGCAGAGUUCAUUUGAGAUCCCUCGUGGCCAAGGUACAGGUGGAGAUAUUGAAAUGGGAAGACAUCGUCCAGUGAAUUCAGGAGAAUUGGGCCUGGAUAACUUUUUUAAGCAGGUUCAAGAUAUUGAGAAACAAUAUGAGGCUCUGAAUAAGCUACUCAAAAAGCUCCAGAUGGUUUUUGAUGUACAAAUGUGGAUAUGACUUUUUUUGACAAGUACAAAAUGGCACUUUUUUUAUAUCUCCAUUCGUAUAUAUAGUGGUACGUACAAAUUAGUUUUUUGGCGUGGUAAAUAUCCAAAAUUUGGCCUGAUAGAAAUUAGCAUUGGACGUGGUACAAAUUAGUUUUUGGGGCGGUACAGAAUAAAUUUUUGGGGUGGUACAGAUUUCCUUUUGGAUAUUAAAUUUGGUUAAUCCUCAAUUAUGUAUGGAAUUAAAUUAUUGGGGUUGGAUUAUACUUGGUUCGUAUGGAAUUUGUAUUACAUUUAGAAUUAGACGUUGAAUAUAAUUUUUU